UGCAUCCGAUCUCCGACAGGUUCGACUCCACCUACUAUAGAGGGAUACUAUAGACUCUCCUAUUUAACUUCUAUCCGGACACGUUCCUAUUCGUGAAGAGUGGUAACCAUAUAUUAUCACAUAUCCAAGCUUUGGUACACGUACUGGUACCAACAUUUCGGGGAUGGUGGCACAUAGCGAAUCACGACGGG
rnacentral:ribozyme from 1 species